rnacentral:misc_RNA from 1 species
GUGAAUCAUCGAAUCUUUGAACGCAAAUUGCACUCUCCUCGGAGAGUAUGCCUGUUUGAGGGUCAGCCUAUAAAAAAUCGACAUCGUUGCUGUUCGCGGGGGCGGUCGUCCGAAAUUUGGUCCACUUUAACCUUUUGGGUUUUUAGCGACCUAAAAUUUUCUUUUGAUUCAUGAAAGUUUUUAAGGUUUAUAACUUUACACGGUUAAG